GCCAGCAUGGUGUAGUGGUUUGAGCAUUGGACUGUGACUGGAGACCAGGGUUCAAAUCUCUGCUCAGCCA